CCAGCUCCAAUAGCGUAUAUUAAAGUUGUUGCAGUUAAAAAGCUCGUAGUUGGGUGUGAGUGUGUGAGGGGGCGUGUCCUGCAAAGGGCGUGUUGCCUUGUGCGCUGAGGGGGGAGUUACAGGGCGACCUGCGACGACCCGAGUUACUUUGAAGAAAUUAGAGUGUUCAAAGCAGGCGAGAGCUUGAAUACGUUAGCAUGGAAUAACAGAGAAGGACCGGUGCCUUGUUUGUUGGUUUGAGGGCGUGGGUAAAGAUUAAUAGGGGCAGUUGGGGGCAUUAGUAUUCGGUAGUCAGAGGUGAAAUUCUUGGAUUUACUGAAGACUAACUAGUGCGAAAGCAUUUGCCAAGGAUGUUUUCA
rnacentral:rRNA from 1 species